rnacentral:rRNA from 1 species
AUUGAACGCUGGCGGCAGGCUUAACACAUGCAAGUCGAGCGGAGAUGAGGUGCUUGCACCUUAUCUUAGCGGCGGACGGGUGAGUAAUGCUUAGGAAUCUGCCUAUUAGUGGGGGACAACAUUCCGAAAGGAAUGCUAAUACCGCAUACGCCCUACGGGGGAAAGCAGGGGAUCUUCGGACCUUGCGCUAAUAGAUGAGCCUAAGUCGGAUUAGCUAGUGGGUGGGGUAAAGGCCUACCAAGGCGACGAUCUGUAGCGGGUCUGAGAGGAUGAUCCGCCAAACUGGGACUGAGACACGGCCCAGACUCCUACGGGAGGCAGCAGUGGGGAAUAUUGGACAAUGGGCGGAAGCCUGAUCCAGCCAUGCCGCGUGUGUGAAGAAGGCCUUUUGGUUGUAAAGCACUUUAAGUUGGGAGGAAGGGCAGUAAGUUAAUACCUUGCUGUUUUGACGUUACCGACAGAAUAAGCACCGGCUAACUCUGUGCCAGCCGCCGCGGUAAUAC